rnacentral:rRNA from 1 species
UACAGAGGGGGCAAGCGUUGUCCGGAAUCAUUGGGCGUAAAGAGCGUGUAGGCGGUCCGGUAAGUCGGCUGUGAAAGUCCAGGGCUCAACCCUGGGGAUGCCGGUCGAUACUGCCGGACUAGAGUGCGGAAGAGGCGAGUGGAAUUCCCGGUGUAGCGGUGAAAUGCGCAGAUAGUCGGGAGGAACACCUAUGGCGAAGGCAGCUCGCUGGGACGUUACUGACGCUGAGACGCGAAAGCGUGG